rnacentral:rRNA from 1 species
AUGUUUGAUGAGAAUGACAUGUUUGAGAAUAUAUUUUCUACAAUUAAUGUUUAUCCCAAGCUUGGGGAUGCUAUGUUUAAUGAAGAUGAUAUUUCUAGCCUCCCAAGUUUUGAUAUUAAUGAUUCCACUAUCUUGGAAGAGUGGCAUGUUGGUGUGACAACCCCAAAAAUGGUACCACUUGAGUGCGCGAGGCGUGUUGGAGCAAUGGAUGUCGGGGAGGCAGCCCUAAGAAUGGGAGGUGAAUCGUACAUGGCUGUUCCCCACCGCCACAACACAAUCUCCCACGUUACCCAUUCUCUCCAAAGCCGGCGCUCCCUGGUCAGGCAGCCCCCUCCCCUUCGUCACAACAGUCGGCGCUCCCUGGUCAGGCCGCCCUCCCCUUCGUCAUCAGCAUCAGCGCUCACUGGCAGGCCGCCCCUCCCCUUCGAAUCAGGUCGCAGAAGUGGCCGAGGAGGCCCUCCAGAUUGGCAUGCUCGUGCCAGCGCUAGGCAUUGUCGGAUGCGGACACGGAGGCGCAGACUCGCACGCCCUACUCUACCCCGCUCCUUCGAAUCUGGCCCCGAAGUGCUCGAGGAGGCGCUCGAGCUCGUCAUGCUCGCCGAUGACGUCGGGCCCCUCCAUCCUCCUGAUGCCCUCGCUGUCGCUGCCAUGAGCCUCUCCACCCUCUUCCACGCAAUCGUCCGGGUCCAGUCCUUGAUGGUUCAGAUUUCCCAAAGGAGAAGAAGGAGGUGCCGAAAGAGGAUGGGAGCGACAAUGGAAUCAGUUUUCUUCACCCCAUGGGAGAAGUUAGAAGUGGUAUUCUCGGGAGUUCCCACCAACUGGUUUGAUGUAUGUUGGAAUAGGUUGUCGAUUGUACUGAAUUGGGGGUUCUCAUCCAGUGACAUUUGUGUGAGUGUCAGUCCUCUUGAAUUCCAUUGCAUCUGCUCAUCGUCGCGGCCAUCGUCGGGUGCCUCGGCGGCUGCGCAGGACUGCGAAGGCGCACUUUUGGGUAAAGAUUCGAUGGACUAUGGAAUAAGGAGUGGAAAGAGCCUAAUCUUGGGGAUGCCCAAGGCACCCCAAGGUAAUAUUCAAGGACAACCAAAAGCCUAA